UUUAUUCCUACUCCAUUCAUUAAAAACGUUGGAUGGGUAUUCAGCACUCAGCCCUUAUAAUGGCUAUUCAGAAAAUAUAAGGAAUCACUUAAAACAAUUUUAUUCCCAACGUACCCCUCAAAAAAUAACAAAUUUACAAGAUUACAAUUGACAAAAACCUGAGAGGUUAUUCUUUCAGCAUUUUCUUCCCAACGUUCACUUUCCAUCUUCCUAUCAAAUUGAGAAAAAGAAAGCUCAUAACAUCGAAUUUGUCUCUAGUUUCAUGUAGUGGAAUCACACAGCCCACAUUGUCAGAGAACUACUAUCAUUUGCUUAAAAAAUUGCCCCACACCAAGAAAAUAUACACGUGAUCCAAGUACACCAACAAAAGAACCACUCUAAUAAUUAGGGUGUCAGUUCUGCUAUCUUUUUGAGUUUGUUAUGCUUCCUACACCUCCAACUGUACAUGACUUUUGUUCUUAAAUUAUUCUUUCUUUUAAUGACCAACUUGGUUAUGGCUUCACAAUAAGCUUAAGACUUUAUCCUUUGCAAUAUGGAGGGAUUAAUGACUUGUUUAGUUUUUCUUUCAAUAUAUUUAGCCCUCGUGUCAACGUCGUAUUUUGUAUUGCUUUUGUAGCUGUACUUUCUGUGUUAUGUUUGUGUCAUGCAAUCAUAUUGUAUCAAACAUUACCAAGUAUAGCAUCUAAUAGUUGCAUAAGCAGUGUCUCUGUAUGUUUAUGAUACAGAAUUGGCCUUAAGUUGUUGAUUAUUGGUUAAUUAUUCAUGUCAAUAUGAAGUUGAUUUGGCAAAGGCACUCUUGAUGGCUUAUUGUUUCUCAUCUUUAUCCAUUUAAUGUAUGUAAAAGGUGUGUAAAAAGAA